rnacentral:piRNA from 1 species
UAGAUUUCUUGAACUUGAACU